CUAUUUUGUACCCAGGAUGCGAUCAAACGACAGCAUCUCUGUCUAAACUCUCUAGCUUCGCCGGUCCUUCUCUUGUAACACAUCAAUUACAUGCGUGUCAGACCGCGCACACGGUGCAACCAACCCCCAGCACUCCAUGCUUGUUCAUCUGACUGCUGAUUGGUGGAGUCCGUUUUUCUUCUCCCGAGUCGCAGAGCCAUUGGAUGCUAGCGCUGUCAAUCAGCUCGGCCCCGCCCCCAGCGUUUGUUUGGUAGAGUUGAUCGUGUGCUCGUUCUCUGUCGCGGCUCUGGGCUGGAGCCGCCGUCCUCGGACUGGCUCGUUCCUUCGUGUUUAUUUCUCAUCCUUUGAUUCGAUCCCACACUAAAUUGUACAAGCAGGCCUCCCGGCCGACGAUCUGCCGUCUGCUCAUUCAAUCUGAUAGUCUCCAGUCCCCGUCCAGAGCAGUGAUAAAGAUGGCGGUGAGCGGGAUGUCAGGGUCGGUCGUCGCGCGGCUCGAGGGCCGAGAGUUCGAGUAUCUGAUGAAGAAGCGCUCGGUCACCGUCGGACGGAAUUCCUCACAAGGCUCCGUGGACGUGAGCAUGGGCCAUUCGAGCUUCAUUUCACGGAGACACCUGGAGAUUUUCUCCGCCGGCGAGGACGGAACGGGAAGCGGAGAUUUCUACCUUCGAUGCCUCGGCAAAAACGGGGUGUUCGUGGACGGCGUGUUUCAGAGACGCGGGGCUCCUCCUCUGCAGCUGCCGCGCGCGUGCACUUUACGCUUUCCCAGCACCACUAUCAAAAUCACGUUCACUGCCUUGUAUAGUGAGAAGAGCGAGCGCAGGAGCGCGCCUGAGUCUCCGGUGAAAGCCCAGAUCUCUCCGCUGACCAUCAACAUCCCAGACAACAUCGCCCACCUGAUGACCCCGCUGCCGUCCCCCACAGGUACCAUCAGCGCUGCUAACUCCUGUCCGUCGAGUCCCCGAGGAGCAGGACUGUCCAGCUAUAGGAUGGGUCGUGGACUCCCAGCUGAUCUCAAUGAAAACUCACAAUCUGAAAAUGACAAGGAAGCGUCUGGAGGAGACAGUCCAAAAGAUGACUCCAAGCCUCCUUACUCGUAUGCUCAGCUUAUAGUUCAAGCCAUCACAAUGGCACCCGACAAACAGCUAACACUGAAUGGAAUAUAUACCCACAUUACGAAGAACUAUCCAUAUUACAGGAGCGCAGACAAGGGCUGGCAAAACUCGAUUCGUCACAAUCUGUCCUUAAACCGCUAUUUUCUCAAAGUGGCGCGAUCUCAAGAGGAGCCGGGCAAAGGCUCUUUCUGGAGGAUUGACCCCUCGUCUGAAGCGAAGCUCAUCGAACAAGCGUUUCGUAAGCGCAGGCCUCGCGGCGUGCCAUGCUUCAGGACCCCCCUCGGACCGCUCUCAUCCAGGAGCGCUCCAGCAUCUCCUAACCACACCGGAGCGCUGUCGGCUCACUCCAGCGGUGUUCAGACUCCAGACAGUUUAUCAAGAGAAGGAUCACCUGUUCCUGUGGAUCCGGAGCCCACACCUUCCUCCGCUCCUGCCGUUCAGCCCAAACUAACCGUCAUUCAGGAGGCUUGCUUCGCUCAGAAGACCGCUGGUUCACCUCUCAACACCCAACCGGUUCUCAUCACAGUUCAGCGGCAGCUAGCGCAGACCAUCAAACCUGUGACCUACGCCGUGACCUCUCCGCUGUCCACUCACACGUCCCAGCAGCCCGUGCUUCAGACGCUGCAUGUGAUCCCUGCAGUGACCGCACACAGGACCAGCUUCACUAGAUCUGAGCCGCAGGGGAACGGAGAGCACCAGGAGCUCCGAGUGAAAGUGGAGCCGGUUCCUGCGGUCAGCACCAGCUCUCCAGUUCUCCAGACGUCUCCUGUGGGUCAGCACCAGCUGCCCGUGAAGCCCAUCGCUCAGAACGGGACGCAUGGGGUCACAGCGAGUCCUCUGCACAUGCUGGCCUCGGCGUGUCUCCCGACCAAACGACAGAACGGAGACCCAGCGGAGCACAACACCAAAAGAGCCAAGACUGAAGACGUCCCCAUCACAGCGGAGAGAGACCAGCAGAACACCACUGACUAGGGUCACGACCUUUGACCUCAACCCAUUUAUUGUUCCUCCCCGUCACCUGUUCACUAGUCCCAGGUGCCAAACAGUGAUUGGAAUCAGGGCAAUGGAUGAUAGAAAUGUGUCCGUCUUCUCAGAGGAACAUCAGCAGCACAACAGUCGCUCGUCUGAUGCUGGGAAAGGUCAUGACCUCUUCUCUUCCGGCUGCUGCUGAUUAUUCAUCAUUAGAUUCAGGUUAGGAGACAAAGGAUGAUGAUUUACAAAUAAAGAUUCUUCAGUUAGUUUGUUGACAGAAA